UACAGAGGUCUCAAGCGUUGUUCGGAUUCAUUGGGCGUAAAGGGUGCGUAGGUGGCGCCGUAAGUCAGGUGCGAAAUUUCGGAGCUUAACUCCGAAACUGCAUUUGAUACUGCGGUGCUUGAGGACUGGAGAGGAGACUGGAAUUUACGGUGUAGCAGUGAAAUGCGUAGAGAUCGUAAGGAAGACCAGUGGCGAAGGCGGGUCUCUGGACAGUUCCUGACGCUGAGGCACGAAGGCCAGGGGAGCAAACGGG
rnacentral:rRNA from 1 species